ensembl:lncRNA
UCACUGUUGGGACUGUAUUGGACAGGUGAUGAGCAGUGCCUGGUUCAUACCAUCUUGGGAGUCCUUCAGGUGUUUUAUAGCAAACACCAUGCUGGUUUUUAUGUGUCUUGCAAGAACUGAAAAGAGCCUUGAUACAUUAUUAUUAUAAGUAGUAGUAGUAGUAGUAGAAACACAAUCAUUCGCUACUUUGUGUUGGUCUAUCACAUAAAAUACACCGGAAUAUAAUAUGUACAAUUGAUUGUGUAGUAUCUGUUUGUCUAUCUACUGAUUUCUGUUGCACAUCAUGCGCUCAGACUCCGCCUCUCUGGUCCAUAAUGCCACGCCCCUUCAGCUAUAGGGAACAAAAUAAAUAAUACUUAAAAAAAAAAAAAAAAAAGAAAUAAUAAAAAAAAUGAAAUGUUACUUAAACGUUUGUUUUAAAUUAGGAGUUGAUACAAUUAGAAUUAUAAGACAUAGAAAAUACCCCACAAUAACACAAAAAUAGUUAACCUGUUGACAUGAUUAAUGUCAAAAUAAUGACAAAAUAAUACUUCUGGGAUGUUUAGGAGAAGUAUGUUUCUGGUCCUGCCCCCGAGGAUGUCUGUGAAGGUUCCCUUCUGCUCCCCUGCUCCGUUAUGUUCCCAUCCAGCAGCAGCCGCGGCUCCGCACUUCGGGUCGCGGUUCGAUGCGUUUGGACGCAUUUUACCGUGGAAAUGCCGGAGUGUGACUUUCGAAGACUCGAGGGAAAGCCGUCCUGUCCUGUGAACGGUCCGGGACCGUCUCUGGCCCACUGAAGGCAUGGAGCAGGAGGAGUGUUUUAAGGAGCUGGAGGAGAUGGAGAUUCGACUGGUGGAGGAUGGCAUGAGCCCCGAGGCCAGCAUGACGCAGCGACUGCUGCACCUGUGGAAGCUCUACAGACGGACGGAGAACAGCCUCGGCACAGUCACGCACAAGCUGAAGUCCCUGCAGUCAGAGCAUGUGGCAGAGAAGGCAAUGGUCCAGAAGACGCUGGAGCAAAUUCGAGCUCUGAGCGAUAAGCAGAACUUAGUGGGUCUGAAGUACGGGCAGGAAAACCAAAUGCUGCACACCCAGUUGAAGCAGAUGAGCCUUCAGCAAGAUUCUCAAAAGAACGAGGUGGCGGAGAUGCUGUACCAGGCCGGCCUGGUCGAGCUCAUCCCAUUCAGCCCCAGCGAGCAGGUGGCCUACCUGCUUGCAGAGAGGUCCUCACUGCUGGAGAGACCUGAGACCCUGGAGACCAAAGCGGGUGAGCCUGGUGCCUCAUCACCUUCCUCCAGAGACACGAUGCCUGCAUCCACAGAAAAGGCGGAAAAAGUGGAGUUGCUACCCAUUCUCAGACCCAUUCUGCAAACCCAUGGUCAGAGCCCCUGGAAAAAACUCCUAGGACUACGCAAGGUCCAGAGCCGAGAGAAGUCAUUUCUGGUGGGUCUUUGGUCUGUUUUUGAAGACUGUUAUUAAUUGACCAUCUUAUCAGUCACCCAUGAAUCCAAGUAUUGAAUCUUUUAGCCAUCUGAUGGCCUGCAGUCUCACAAGGCUGACAGCAUUAAGCAGCAGCAUCUGGAGAGGGACCUGGAUG